rnacentral:rRNA from 1 species
CCCACGCCGAAAGACCAAGGUUUCCUGCGCAACGUUAAUCGACGCAGGGUUAGUCGGUCCCUAAGGCGAGGCUGAAAAGCGUAGUCGAUGGAAAACAGGUUAAUAUUCCUGUACUUCUGGUUAUUGCGAUGGAGGGACGGAGAAGGCUAGGCCAGCUUGGCGUUGGUUGUCCAAGUUUAAGGUGGUAGGCUGGAAUCUUAGGUAAAUCCGGGAUUCUAAGGCCGAGAGCUGAUGACGAGUUGUCUUUAGACGACGAAGUGGUUGAUGCCAUGCUUCCAAGAAAAGCUUCUAAGCUUCAGGUAACCAGGAACCGUACCCCAAACCGACACAGGUGGUUGGGUAGAGAAUACCAAGGCGCUUGAGAGAACUCGGGUGAAGGAACUAGGCAAAAUGGCACCGUAACUUCGGGAGAAGGUGCGCCGGUGAGGGUGAAGUACUUGCUACGUAAGCCCACGCCGGUCGAAGAUACCAGGCCGCUGCGACUGUUUAUUAAAAACACAGCACUCUGCAAACACGAAAGUGGACGUAUAGGGUGUGACGCCUGCCCGGUGCCGGAAGGUUAAUUGAUGGGGUUAGCUAACGCGAAGCUCUUGAUCGAAGCCCCGGUAAACGGCGGCCGUAACUAUAACGGUCCUAAGGUAGCGAAAUUCCUUGUCGGGUAAGUUCCGACCUGCACGAAUGGCGUAACGAUGGCGGCGCUGUCUCCACCCGAGACUCAGUGAAAUUGAAAUCGCUGUGAAGAUGCAGUGUAUCCGCGGCUAGACGGAAAGACCCCGUGAACCUUUACUAUAGCUUUGCACUGGACUUUGAAUUUGCUUGUGUAGGAUAGGUGGGAGGCUUUGAAGCGUGGACGCCAGUCUGCGUGGAGCCAUCCUUGAAAUACCACCCUGGCAACUUUGAGGUUCUAACUCAGGUCCGUUAUCCGGAUCGAGGACAGUGUAUGGUGGGUAGUUUGACUGGGGCGGUCUCCUCCUAAAGAGUAACGGAGGAGUACGAAGGUGCGCUCAGACCGGUCGGAAAUCGGUCGUAGAGUAUAAAGGCAAAAGCGCGCUUGACUGCGAGACAGACACGUCGAGCAGGUACGAAAGUAGGUCUUAGUGAUCCGGUGGUUCUGUAUGGAAGGGCCAUCGCUCAACGGAUAAAAGGUACUCCGGGGAUAACAGGCUGAUACCGCCCAAGAGUUCAUAUCGACGGCGGUGUUUGGCACCUCGAUGUCGGCUCAUCACAUCCUGGGGCUGAAGCCGGUCCCAAGGGUAUGGCUGUUCGCCAUUUAAAGUGGUACGCGAGCUGGGUUUAGAACGUCGUGAGACAGUUCGGUCCCUAUCUGCCGUGGACGUUUGAGAUUUGAGAGGGGCUGCUCCUAGUACGAGAGGACCGGAGUGGACGAACCUCUGGUGUUCCGGUUGUCACGCCAGUGGCAUUGCCGGGUAGCUAUGUUCGGAAUAGAUAACCGCUGAAAGCAUCUAAGCGGGAAACUAGCCUCAAGAUGAGAUCUCACUGGAACCUUGAGUUCCCUGAAGGGCCGUCGAAGACUACGACGUUGAUAGGUUGGGUGUGUAAGCGCUGUGAGGCGUUGAGCUAACCAAUACUAAUUGCCCGUGAGGCUUGACCAU